GUAUAGUAAUACAAAGAAGCUUAUAUAUGGUCAUAAUAUGGAUGACCGUCUCUACCCAACACCGUAAAUGUUGGUCUAUAAGUAAAAAAGUGUUUAAU
rnacentral:ncRNA from 2 species